CUCACCAGCGGCACAGUGCAUACCCAAACCUCCCUAGGGUGACAUCAUCCCAUAUAUGGAUGCUCAGGCCCAGCCCUCCCCUUUCUCCUGGUUCUAAAUUCAUUGCCAGAUCCACAGUCUACUGCAAAUGUGCCACGUCAAGGCUCGAAAUCGCAGCACUUCGGUGCAUUUCAAGGAGGGCUGCAGAAUUUGAGGGAAUGCUGAGAACAAAGCCCGAUAUGGGAAGGGAGAUUUCUUUGCUUUUUUAAAACCCAAAGACUCAAAGAGGAACCCAACCCAAUCCUGCUCCGUCGCCCCAGUGUUCAGACUACCUGUUCAGGACAAUGCUGUUGUACAGUAGUCUGCACAUUGGUUAGACUGGGCAAGGAAACGCACCAAGACGGACUCCAGAAAACGUCAGAGAGAAGACUGGCAAGCAUGGCGCUUUUCAGAUUUUAUGCUCAGUGUUUUUCUUCACAGGUCUGGCAUGGUAGGAAAUAGGGCAUACGGGGAAAGGAAGACUUCCGAGUAGUUCAUGGAAGACAUACUGGCACGACCCAUUUAUUAUCAGGAAAUUAUCUUGGGAGCUUCUGGAAAGGCACGAACAUUUGAGUGACCUUUUAAGAUCCUGGCCCAUUGAUUCCAGUGAUAGAAAGAGGAAUUCCUUUGUUCUGUAUCUCACUGUGCAGUCCAAUCCUAUUCGGUCUGAUUUCACAGGACUAACUUCCAGGUAAGAUAAUAUACAACACCAUCUUUCAGGCCAUCACAUUCAUGUUUUAGAUGAAGGCCAUAUUUAUCUUUUAGAUUUCUUGCAUCUUAGCAACACAAUUACAUUGUAAAUAGAAGUUACAACAGCAAAUUGAAAGAAGCCAAUAGUUUUGCAAUAAAAGGGUAUAUUAUUAUUAUUAUUAUUAUUAUUAUUAUUAUUAUUAUUAUUAGAUACACAACAAGAUUAAUACACAGCAAACAAGAUCAUUAUCCUGGCUUUUGUAUUGGAUCGCAUGGCGGUCACUUUCCAAAUGACUAGGACUGUGUGAUUUAUUAUUAUUAUUAUUAUUAUUAUUAUUAUUAUUAUUAUUAUUAUUAUUACGGCCAAUUCUCUCACACCAGAAGCGACUUGCAGUUUCUCAGGUCACUCCUGACACAACAAAAAAAAAWUAUUAUUAUUAUUAUUAUUAUUAUUAUUAUUAUUAUUAUUUUACUGACACAAAAGCACAGUAUGCCACAGCAAACGAGAUCUAUAUGCUGGAUUUCGUAUCACAAAAUCACAAGUCGAACACUUCACAAGCGUAAUAAUAAUAAUAAGAAMAAUAAUAAUAAUGACACAAAAACACAGUAUGUCACAGCAAACGAGAUCUAUAUGCUGGAUUUCGUAUCACAAAAUCACAAGUCGAACACUUCCCAAGCGUAAUAAUAAUAAUAAUAAUAAUAAUAAUAAUAAUAAUAAUAAUAAUAAUAAUUCUGACACAAAAACACAGUAUGACACAGCAAAUGAAAUCUAUAUGCAAAGGCUCUGGCAUAAACCAAUACAGGUGGUCCCAGUGGUCAUUGGCACACUGGGUGCCGUGCCAAAAGAUCUCAGCCGGCAUUUGGAAACAAUAAACAUGAAUCAUGAUCUGUCAACUGCAAAAGGCCUCCUUACUUAGAUCUGCACGCAUCAUUCGGAAAUACAUCACACAGUCCUGGACACUUGGGAAGUGAUUUUGUGAUACGAAAUCCAUCAUCAUCAUCAUCAUCAUCAUCAUCAUCAUCAUCAUCAUUCUGACACAAAACCACAUGUAAAAUUAUU